rnacentral:tRNA from 1 species
GGCCCAAUGGUAUGUGGAGAUCGAGGGCGUCGAUCUGAAGUGAUCGGUCAUGGCGACCUGUGACAUCCUUGCAAAGCAAGUUCUGCCCGUCGAAAAACUGAAUGAAAUAAGGUGGGUUAGACUCUUCCCCACUUCAUUCGUAAUGAAGGGGUCGGCGGUUCGAAUCCGUCUUGGGGCA